rnacentral:rRNA from 1 species
CGGAGGGUGCAAGCGUUAUCCGGAAUCAUUGGGUUUAAAGGGUCCGCAGGCGGACUUAUAAGUCAGUAGGUGAAAGCCUACAGCUUAACUGUAGAACUGCCAUUGAUACUGUAAGUCUUGAAUUCGGUCGAAGUGGGCGGAAUAUGACAUGUAGCGGUGAAAUGCUUAGAUAUGUCAUAGAACACCGAUAGCGAAGGCAGCUCACUAGGCCUGGAUUGACGCUCAUGGACGAAAGCGUGGGGAGCAAACAGGAUUAGAUACCCUGGUAGUCCACGCCGUAAACUAUCAAUACUCGUUCUCGGCGAUAUACAGUCGGGGACUAAGCGAAAGUGAUAAGUAUUGCACCUGGGGAGUACGAUCGCAAGGUUG